ACGUAGGUGGCAAGCGUUGUCCGGAUUUACUGGGCGUAAAGGAUGCGUAGGCGGAUACUUAAGUCAGAUGUGAAAAUCCCGGGCUUAACUUGGGAACUGCAUUUGAAACUGGGUAUCUAGAGUGCGGGAGAGGAAAGUGGAAUUCCUAGUGUAGCGGUGAAAUGCGUAGAGAUUAGGAAGAACACCAGUGGCGAAGGCGACUUUCUGGACCGUAACUGACGCUGAGGCAUGAAAGCGUGGGGAGCAAACAGGA
rnacentral:rRNA from 1 species